AUUGAACGCUGGCGGCAGGCCUAACACAUGCAAGUCGAACGAGUGGCGGACGGGUGAGUACUGUCUGGGAAACUGCCUGAUGGAGGGGGAUCACUACUGGAAACGGUCGCUAAUACCGCAUACCAUCCGAUGUCUCCAGAUGGGAUUAGCUAGUUGGUGGGGUAACGGCUCACCAAGGCGAUGAUCCCUAGCUGGUCUGAGAGGAUGACCAGCCACACUGAAACUGAGACACGGUCCAGACUCCUACGGGAGGCAGCAGUGUGGAAUAAUGCAAAAUGGGCGCAAGCCUGAUGCAGGCAUGCCGCGUGGAUGAAGAAGGCCUUCGGGUUGUAAAGUACGUUCAGCGGGGAGGCGUUACCCGCAGAAGAAGCACCGGCAAACUCCGUGCCAGCAGCCGCGGUAAUUC
rnacentral:rRNA from 1 species